rnacentral:rRNA from 1 species
GAGUUUGAUCAUGGCUCAGAACGUACGCUGCGGCACGCCUAACACAUGCAAGUCGAACGAAGUAGCAAUACUUAGUGGCAGACGGGUGAGUAACAUGUAGGUAUCUGCCCUUUGGCCUGGAAUAACACGAGGAAACUUGUGCUAAUACCGGAUAAGUCUUUACGGAGAAAGCUUUAUGCACCAUUGGAUGAGCCUGCACUUGAUUAGUUUGUUGGUGGGGUAAUGGCCUACCAAGACUGUGAUCAAUAGCUGAUUUGAGAGGAUGAUCAGCCACAUUGGGACUGAGACACGGCCCAAACUCCUACGGGAGGCAGCAGUGGGGAAUCUUGCACAAUGGAGGAAACUCUGAUGCAGCGAUGCCGCGUGAGUGAAGAAGGCCCUUGGGUUGUAAAGCUCUUUCGUCGGGGAAGAAAAUGACUGUACCCGAAUAAGAAGGUCCGGCUAACUUCGUGCCAGCAGCCGCGGUAAUACGAAGGGACCUAGCGUAGUUCGGAAUUACUGGGCUUAAAGAGUUCGUAGGUGGUUGAAAAAGUUAGUGGUGAAAUCCCAGAGCUUAACUCUGGAACUGCCAUUAAAACUUUUCAGCUAGAGUAUGAUAGAGGAAAGCAGAAUUUCUAGUGUAGAGGUGAAAUUCGUAGAUAUUAGAAAGAAUACCAAUUGCGAAGGCAGCUUUCUGGAUCAUUACUGACACUGAGGAACGAAAGCAUGGGUAGCGAAGAGGAUUAGAUACCCUCGUAGUCCAUGCCGUAAACGAUGUGUGUUAGACGUUGGAAAUUUAUUUUCAGUGUCGCAGGGAAACCGAUAAACACACCGCCUGGGGAGUACGACCGCAAGGUUAAAACUCAAAUGAAUUGACGGGGACCCGCACAAGUAGUGGAGCAUGUGGUUUAAUUCGAAGAUACGCGCAGAACCUUGCCAACACUUGACAUGUUCGUCGCGACUCUAAGAGAUUAGAGUUUUCGGUUCGGCCGGACGAAACACAGGUGCUGCAUGGCUGUCGUCAGCUCGUGUCGUGAGAUGUUGGGUUAAGUCCCGCAACGAGCGCAACCCUCACUUUUAGUUGCCAUCAUUAAGUUGGGCACUCUGAAAGAACUGCCAGUGAUAAGCUGGAGGAAGGUGGGGAUGACGUCAAGUCCUCAUGGCCCUUACGUGUUGGGCUACACACGUGCUACAAUGGUAUCUACAACAGGAAGCAAGACUGCGAAGUUAAGCAAAUCCCUAAAAGAUACCUCAGUUCGGAUUGCACUCUGCAACUCGAGUGCAUGAAGCUGGAAUUACUAGUAAUCGUGGAUCAGCGUGCCACGGUGAAUGCGUUCCCGGGUCUUGUACACACCGCCCGUCACACCAUGGGAGUUGGUUCUACCUUAAGGCAAGGUUUCAAACCCUUGACCACGGUAUAGUCAGCGACUGGGGUGAAGUCGUAACAAGGUAACC